GUCCACUGCCUUCAUUGGGUAGUCCCAUUG
rnacentral:piRNA from 1 species